rnacentral:snRNA from 1 species
GUGCUCACCUUGGCUGCACAUACACUAAGAUUGGAAAAAUACAGAGAAGAUUGGCAUACACUAAAAUUGAAACAAUACAGAGAUUAGCAUGGCCCCUGUGCAAGGGUAGCAUGCAAAUUUGUGAAGUGUUCCAUAUUUAA